rnacentral:rRNA from 1 species
UACGUAGGGGGCUAGCGUUGUCCGGAAUCAUUGGGCGUAAAGAGCGUGUAGGCGGUCCGGUAAGUCCGCUGUGAAAGUCGGGGGCUCAACCCUCGAAUGCCGGUGGAUACUGUCGGGCUAGAGUGCGGAAGAGGCGAGUGGAAUUCCUGGUGUAGCGGUGAAAUGCGUAGAUAUCAGGAAGAACACCAACGGCGAAGGCAGCUCGCUGGGACGGUACUGACGCUGAGACGCGAAAGCGUGGGGAGCGAACAGG